CUGGAGGGAUCCAAACCACAUUUCCCACCUCCCAAGAGAGGGCCCAAACCAACGGGGGUAAAAUGAGGUUGAGAUUGGGGAGAUAGGCUGUUCAGCCGUCUCUUCUCCUUGAAGCUGCACAGAAGUGCAUUCCGGGGGGCAUAGGGAGAUCAAAGGAACUCCCGGAACUCAGACGCACGUAGACCACCACUCGCAGUCUCGUGGUUAUGCUCUCAGCUGGCCAGCCUGGGCUCUGGGUUAGAGUUGCUCUAGUUAGAGCCUUUCAUAUGAAAAUCAGUCAUAGGGCAAAAAAGAACAGAACUGCAUCUCACAGCAGGGAGAGGAAUCCAGUGUCUCCAUCGCUUCUCCUCGCCGGAGGUGUCUGUAUCAAAGAGUCGGGAAUCAGGGAGCUGCAGAGAGCUAGAUAAUUUCUGUCUCUUCCAAUCUGAUUGCUGUUUCAGAUUGAAAAAUGAGGCUGUUUUCUUCGAUCUGCCGGGGCAUUUCUGAUGCCCAGAAAACAGAUCUGCUGGGCAGCCAAAGAUCCUUGGAUCAGAAUCCGCAUCUUUUUGUCCUCAAGCACUAGCAAUAAAAAAUCUGCUGUGCUAGUUUGCCUACCA
rnacentral:lncRNA from 1 species